ACAAUGUCGACGACGUUGACGACGCAGA
rnacentral:sRNA from 1 species